CCCGCCUGCCCUGUGACCAUGUGUUCAACGGCCGCGGUAUUUUGACCGUGCGAAGGUAGCGCAAUCACUUGUCUUUUAAAUGAAGACCUGUAUGAAUGGCAUAACGAGGGCUAAGCUGUCUCCUUUUUCCAGUCAAUGAAAUUGAUCUGCCCGUGCAGAAGCGAGCAUAAGUACAUAAGACGAGAAGACCCUAUGGAGCUUCAGACACCAGGACAGACUGUGUUAAAACCCCUCAAUAAAGAGACCAAACCAAACAGCUUCUCUCCCCCUGUCUUCGGUUGGGGCGACCGCGGGGUAACAAAAAACCCCCACGUGGAACAGAGGAACCCCCUCUUAAAAAUAGGGCCACAACCCUAAUAAACAGAAAAUCUGACCAACAAUGAUCCGGCACUGCCGAUCAACGGACCCAGUUACCCUAGGGAUAACAGCGCAAUCCUCUUCUAGAGCCCAUAUCGACAAGAGGGUUUACGACCUCGAUGUUGGAUCAGGACAUCCUAAUGGUGCAGCCGCUAUUAAGGGUUCGUUUGUUCAACGAUUAAAGUCCUACGUGAUCUG
rnacentral:rRNA from 1 species